CUACCGGCGAUGGCCUCCUAGGCACCCAGCAGACCUUGGCAACAGUGACGAGCUUCGUGGCCUUGGUGAUCUAUGCAUAAGCUUGGCCAUAUGUGACACCGCAUUCCACCGAUAGUCUACCUGCUUGGGUGCACGACAAGUAUUUGGUGAUUUGUUGCACAGACACUAGUUGUACUGUGUUUGCAUAAACUCGCUUUGUGGUGCCCACUUUAGCUGCUUAACUGUGUGUUGCAUCCUGUGUGAGAAUUGUGUUUGCAUAAAUUUGCUUUGUGUGCCCACUUUAGCCACUCAACAACCACCUGUUGCAUUGUGAGUUCCUUAUAGGAUGCUUCUAGAGUAUCUUGUGUAUAUUGGCCUCAUUGCAUCAUAACAUUUAAUAGAAUCAUCGCUCUGCUAUGGAUGUUGAACUUACUAAUUCAAUUUACUAUCUGAAUGCCGUAGUGCUUUUUUAUUGAAAUGGUAUGGUAUCGAUACGAUGGUAUGUACAAAAUUGACAUAAAAA
rnacentral:lncRNA from 1 species